CUUUAAGGGAACUCCAUGUACCAACGAAAGUCCAGCGCAGUCAUUGGAAGUGACCGUGACUUUUCACACAGAGCUAUGGAACUAUGCGCCAGAUUGAAUGAUGCUCGCAGCCUGGUUAAAACUCAACAUCCAGACUAUUCAGGGUUGACUCCUCCGAUUCAAGCACUCUUUGGACUGAACAUCAGUCUCUAAGUGAUAUAAAGUUAUCUUUGCAGGCACAGACACCAAGGUGGCCAUGUGUUGCAAAAUAACUAUUGUUCUCCUGAGGACAAUAAAACAGAGUUGUUCACCUUGAUCGGUGUUGGAAUAUAAUCACUAAAGAGCUAAUCACUGGGAAGGGAGCCUUGGUGGAGAUAUCCAGGUCACCUGCGUAAAGGCCUCCACAAGUAGCUCAAUGUAAGUCCAAAUUUUUUUUAAUUUUUUUUUUUUUUUUUUUAUUGACUACUUGGUGCUUUAUGAAAAAAGGAGAAAAAACAAAUGUAGGGGAAAAAAAUGUUUUAUUUUGUAGUAAAUCUGAAUAAAUUUCCCCAAAAUAUUUUUGGAAUGUGUGCAUCAGAAUGACUUGUGGCUGUGUUGUAUUCAGAAAAGAAAGCUCCAGCCUCGUGGAUUACUUACUGUAAUACAUCAAGAACUUACUGUAAUAGUCACAAGACACUGUGCGCACUGCCACGGCAUUUUUGUUACCUAGACAGAGUGUUUCAUAUUUGAGAAUUUCAUCUGGUUAAAACAAUAUCCACCUCAAGCUGACAACCUUACAAGACACCUAUCAACUCAAUGGAAGAGAAAGGUUCAGAUGCAUUCAAAUAAUUGAAAUAUAUAUAUAUAUAUGUGUUGUUUGGUAUUUUCAGCCUCUAAAACUGUAGUGAAAAGAUUUGUGCCCAGAUGAUAUUUUCCAUUUCAUCUCCCAUUGCAAUCCCACUCACCUCAG